rnacentral:rRNA from 1 species
CCUACGGGAGGCAGCAGUAGGGAAUAUUGCUCAAUGGGGGAAACCCUGAAGCAGCAACGCCGCGUGGAGGAUGAAGGUUUUCGGAUUUUAAACUCCUUUUGUUAGAGAAGAUAAUGACGGUAUCUAACGAAUAAGCACCGGCUAACUCCGUGCCAGCAGCCGCGGUAAUACGGAGGGUGCAAGCGUUACUCGGAAUCACUGGGCGUAAAGAGCGCGUAGGCGGGAUAGCAAGUCAGAUGUGAAAUCCUAUGGCUUAACCAUAGAACUGCAUUUCAAACUGUUAGUCUAGAGUAUGGGAGAGGUAGGUGGAAUUCGUGGCGUAGGGGUAAAAUCCGUAGAGAUCAAGAGGAAUACUCAUUGCGAAGGCGACCUGCUAGAACAUAACUGACGCUGAGGCGCGAAAGCGUGGGGAGCAAACAGGAUUAGAUACCCUUGUAGUC